GUGGAGACGCGUGCGAGCCCGAUACCAAGCCGAGUUAGGGUUAGUCUGCGAGCAGGCGAGCGAGUGUGCGCUUGCGUGACCCUCGGAGGACUCUGUUCCCUGCUUCCUCCCUCCUGUCCCUCUCUCUUCCCUCUAUCAUCUCUCUUUAUCUAUCACGAAAACGCAGUCGAUCCAUCCUCCGGGGGUCAUGCGACCUUCCAUCCCGCUUUCCCGGAACGAGCUACUGGAUUGAAAUCACCGAACGGACGUGCGCUCGUCACCGCUCUUCCACUCGCCAGGAUUCUGGAUAGGAGGAAACAUCUGGAGUGGAUUGGACGAGAGAGAGAGAGAGAGAGAGAGAGAGAGAAAGAGAAAUCCUUGGAAGAAGAGCAAUAACUUAACGCCGAGGUUAAAAGCGCGACGAGCGUGCCGAUCGAACAUCCAAGCGAUGAGGGUUAACGACGACGACGAAGAAGAAGAAGAAGAAGAAGAAGAAGGAUUGGGAGAAACGCAGAGUACUGAUGCCAAGAGUACAAUUAUUAGUUAAUGGCUCGCUCGUUAUCAAAAUUGAUUUUGAUACGUUCAUUCGAGUACAAAAAUGGACUCUUUCGUCUCACGAAUACGACGAUCGUUGGCCUCGAAAGUCGCUCAUAAUCUAAUUAAAUCUAACGAGAAAGGAUGAAAAUUGACAAAGAGAAAAGAUUAAACUGACGCAAUCUUCUGGAUACAUAACGAAAGAAAGAUUUCCAACUCACUUAAGAUAUAUUUGGCCCUUUCUCUGUCAUAUUCUCGUGGAAAUCAAGGGACUUCUGCCGAAUCAACCUAUCGAACCUACCGAACGGGCGACGUUCAGGCGCCAAAGGGAUCUACGUUUUACGCGGAUGUAAGAUUCUACUUUUUGUUCUUGAUGCGCGGCUGAUAUUUAUAUUCGAAUCUAAUAUAAGUUUUAGUAAACUUAA